rnacentral:misc_RNA from 1 species
GAUAAGAUAGUAGGACCAAUAAAAUUGCCAUGCUCAUACCCCGGAACCACUAUUUUUCUUCCAUCAAGCAGUAGUUUGGCUCCACUUUCGACACCACUUUGAAUUAAUCUGUGUAUUCGUUCCUUGGCCUGUUUGCUAAUCACUGGACCCAAGUCUGCAUCAGGCACUGUUCCAGCAUUUACUUUCAGAGCUUUUGCUCGUUCCACCAGUUUAUUCUCCCAUGAUUGUGAAUCUCCAACAAAAACCACUGUGCUCAGUGCCAUGCACCGCUGUCCAGCAGCGCCAAAACCAGCAGCGACCAGGGCAUUUAAAGCAGCAUCCAUGUUCGCAUCAGGCAAGACCAUUGCAUGAUUCUUGGCUCCCAUGUUGGACUGAACACGUUUCCCUUUAGCUGAUGCUCUUGCAUAUAUGUGCAUGCCAGCAAUAUUGGAACCAACAAAAGAUAUAGCUCUGAUG